rnacentral:rRNA from 1 species
AAUUGAGAGUUUGAUCCUGGCUCAGGACGAACGCUGGCGGCGUGCUUAACACAUGCAAGUCGAACGGAAAGGCCCUGCUUUUGUGGGGUGCUCGAGUGGCGAACGGGUGAGUAACACGUGGGUGAUCUGCCCUGCACUUCGGGAUAAGCUUGGGAAACUGGGUCUAAUACCGGAUAGGACCAUGGUUUAGCAUCUCAUGGUGGAAAGAUAUUGUUUUGGUGUAGGAUG